GGACCAUUGUUUGUAUCUCCAGGCCUUGGCUCAGAGCUGUAGGGGAUUAGGCUGAAAGUUGAGGCGUUGUUUCUGGGGCCCUGCAAUUGGGUGAUGUGAGGGAAGCAGCGGGCGAUGAGGGGUGAGCUGAGGACAGUGUGAUCAGCUAGGAGGCCGUUGAAUAGAGGCGAAGAGAAGCGAACUAAGGUGGGGCAACCGGGGAGGCUGGAGAGUGUGUGGCAGAACCGGGGAGGGGACCAGGUGUAUGUGUCUGUGGGGCAAUCAGCGUCAGCGCAGCAGGAGCCGGAUUAGCAUCGUUCCUUUGCUCUUCUGCUAACGUUUCUUCAGAGCCUCCAGGUACGCUGAGAUGAAAUGACCUCUGUCCCGCCGGGAAGAAUCGCAGGGCAGGGCAGAGAGGUACAAGCCCACGGAAUCUUUGCCGGGGGGGGUGGUGCGGCUAGGAACAAGUAGGGGCACAGAGGGCGUCCUCAAGUCUGCCCGAGUCAGGAGAGGCUUGCCAGUGCUGGGGACACGGCAGCCACUGACUUUGGAAGGCGGGGUCGGCAGACAAGGCUGGAGAGGGAGUUCCAGGUGGAGGAAACUGCAUGUGCAAAGGCACAGCAUGAAACCACAGGAAACUGAGGCACGAGGGGGUUAAUUAACUUGCUAGGGAGCAGCAGAGCCAGGAUUUGAACCCAUGUGUUCCAGGUCCAGAGCCAGGUGCUAAACUCCCUCUUCACAGGGAGAUUGGCCCUGAGCUAACAUCUGUCGUCAGAUCUU
rnacentral:lncRNA from 1 species